rnacentral:rRNA from 1 species
UACGGGGGGAGCAAGCGUUGUUCGGAUUUACUGGGCGUAAAGGGCGCGUAGGCGGCCACGACAAGUCACUUGUGAAAUCUCCGGGCUUAACUCGGAACGGUCAAGUGAUACUGUCGGGCUAGAGUGCAGAAGGGGCAACUGGAAUUCUCGGUGUAGCGGUGAAAUGCGUAGAUAUCGAGAGGAACACCUGCGGCGAAGGCGGGUAGCUGGGCCGACACUGACGCUGAUGCGCGAAAGCCAGGGGAGCGAACGGG